AGAACGAACGCUGGCGGCAGGCUUAACACAUGCAAGUCGAGCGCCCCGCAAGGGGAGCGGCAGACGGGUGAGUAACGCGUGGGAACAUACCCUCCGGUUCGGAAUAGCUCAGGGAAACUUGGAUUAAUACCGGAUACGGCCUAGCGGCGAAAGAUUCAUCGCCGGAGGAUUGGCCCGCGUUCGAUUAGCUAGUUGGUGAGGUAACGGCUCACCAAGGCGACGAUCGAUAGCUGGUCUGAGAGGAUGAUCAGCCACAUUGGGACUGAGACACGGCCCAAACUCCUACGGGAGGCAGCAGUGGGGAAUAUUGGACAAUGGGCGCAAGCCUGAUCCAGCCAUGCCGCGUGAGUGAUGACGGCCUUAGGGUUGUAAAGCUCUUUCGCUAGGGACGAUAAUGACGGUACCUAGACAAGAAGCCCCGGCUAACUUCGCGCCAGCAGCCGC
rnacentral:rRNA from 1 species